GAAUUUUUGGCAAUGGGGGCAACCCUGACCAAGCAACGCCGCGUGGAUGAUGAAGUAUCUCGGUACGUAAAAUCCUUUCGACGGGGACGAAACCGCAAGGUUGACGGUACCCGUAGAAGAAGCCCCGGCUCACUCCGCGCCAGCAGCCGCGGUGAUACGGGGGGGGCAAGCGUUGUUCGGAAUUACUGGGCGUAAAGGGCGCGUAGGCGGCUUGUUAAGUCGGGUGUGAAAACUCUGGGCUCAACCCAGAGCCUGCAUUCGAAACUGACGAGCUAGAGUUCUGGAGGGGAAAGCGGAAUUCCUGGUGUAGCAGUGAAAUGCGUAGAUAUCAGGAGGAACACCGGUGGCGAAGGCGGCUUUCUGGACAGAAACUGACGCUGAGGCGCGAAAGCUAGGGGAGCAAACAGG
rnacentral:rRNA from 1 species